rnacentral:rRNA from 1 species
UUUGGAUAACUGUGGUAAUCCUAGAGCUAAUACAUGCAAUCAAGUCCCGACCAGUUUUACUGGGAAGGACGCUUUUAUUAGAUCAAGAUCAAUCGCUCGGCUUUUGUCUAGCGUUCUCUUGGUGACUCUAGGUAACACAUCAGAUCGCAUGGUCUUUGCACCGGCGACUUAUCUUUCAAAUGCCUGACUUAUCAACUGUCGAUGGUAGAUUCUAUGUCUACCAUGGUUGUAACGGGUAACGGGGAAUCAGGGUUCGAUUCCGGAGAGGGAGCCUGAGAAACGGCUACCACAUCCAAGGAAGGCAGCAGGCACGCAAAUUACCCACUCCCGGCACGGGGAGGUAGUGACAAAAAAUAACGAUACGGGACUCUUAUGAGGCCCCGUAAUCGGAAUGAGUACACUUUAAAUCCCUUAACAAGGAUCCAUUGGAGGGCAAGCCUGGUGCCAGCAGCCGCGGCAAUUCCAGCUCCAAUAGCGUAUAUUAAAGUUGUUGCGGUUAAAAAGCUCGUAGUUGGUUCUGCGUGCUACGCUGCCGGUUCACCGCCUGCCGGUGUAACUGGCAUGUCGUGGCAUGUCCUGUCGGUGGCGAGUGGGAGCUUUGUUAGGCGAUGGCCUGAAUCUUUUGAUUCAGUGUCCAUAGGCCAGAAGUCAAACCCAUUCGCCUACUCUAUCCUACCUAGGUGCUCUUUACUGAGUGUCGAGGUAGGCCGACACGUUUACUUUGAACAAAUUAGAGUGCUCAAAGCAGGCUAAAAUUUCUGCCUGAAUAGUGGUGCAUGGAAUAAUAAAACAGGACCUUGGUUCUAUUUUGUUGGUUCUUAGGAACACAAGGUAAUGAUCAAUACGGACAGGCGGGGGCAUUCGUAUUGCGCCGGGAAACCAAAGCUUUUGGGUUCCGGGGGAAGUAUGGUUGCAAAGCUGAAACUUAAAGGAAUUGACGGAAGGGCACCACCAGGUGUGGGGCCUGCGGCUCAAUUUGACUCAACACGGGAAACCUCACCAGGCCAGGACAUUGGAAGGAUUGACAGAUUGAUAGCUCUUUCUUGAUUCAGUGGGUAGUGGUGCAUGGCCGUUCUUAGUUGGUGGAUCGAUUUGUCUGGUUAAUUCCGAUAACGAACGAGACUCUAGCCUAUUAACUAGGCGGUUUCUGGUGUCCUCGCCACCAGCGACAUUCAUUCUUCUUAAGGGGACAGGCGGCUGUAAGCCGCACGAGAUUGAGCAAUAACAGGUCUGUGAUGCCCUUAGAUGUCCUGGGCCGCACGCGCGCCACACUGAAGGAAUCAGCGUGUGCCUCCCUGGCCGAAAGGCCCGGGUAAUCCGCUGAACCUCCUGCGUGCUAGGAAUUGGGGCUUGCAAUUGUUCCCCAUGAACGAGGAAUACCCAGUAAGCGCGAGUCAUAAGCUUGCGUUGAUUACGUCCCUGCCCUUUGUACACACCGCCCGUCGCUACUACCGAUUGAAUGAUUUAGUGAGGUCUUCGGACUGGCGGUAAUCGUUCUGACUUUUUAAGGCAAACCGAUGAACGCUGGAAAGAUGACCAAACUUGAUCAUUUAGAGGAAGUAAAAGUCGUAACAAGGUUUCC